UGUUCUGUAGCUUAGUUGGUUAAAGCGCCGGACUAGCGAUAACGGAGUCGUGGGUUCGAAUCCCACCAAAAAAA
rfam:Aedes albopictus isolate Foshan contig72508, whole genome shotgun sequence.